AUUGGACAUCAAAAGUUGGCACAAGACUAUCCGGUGACACUAUAGUAACAGAACACAAUGGAAUUAACUUCAGAAUUUAAAAUGCAUGCGAAGAUCACGUUACCAACGACGUUAUAGACAACAAAGUGGUCUGUGUGAAGGGAAUCGUUUAAGACAUAUCAUCGAUCGCAAGCUAUUUCAUCGGAGGGUUAUUGACCGGAAGUCUGGAUAGUUUUGGCUAGCGAUAGCUAUUGGCAUAACCCCACAUAUGAACAAUAAAAAUUCAAAUUAUCAGCUGUUUUAGCAUAGAAUUUCCCGUGAGGCUCUUCUAAUAUCAACUGCGCCUAUGGCAUCGGUUCAAUAAAAACACAUCUUUACCAUACACUGGUUCAC